GAGAGAUGGCAGAAUCUCAUGAUGGCUCUUAAAGCUUCUUCUAGGAAGUGUCAUAUUCCAUUUCCACUUAUAUCUCAUUGGCAGAAAGAAAUCAUACGCCUCAGGUUGCUGUCGAGGAGUCUGGAAGUAGACUCUUCCCUCAGAAAUGGGCUGGGAGCUAGUUCUAGCCUGUGAAGACUGAUGAUUAGAGGGGGAAGUCCUAUUGUCUUAUCAAAGAAACUCAUAAAAAUAUCAAGAGAUCAUAAUAGCAGUGUCAAAAACCUGUGCUUUGAGGAUGGACCACAAUUUGGAUGCCGGCGAUGAUAUUUAAAGGCUGCUUAACCUUGGCAGUUAUGCACCCCCUCUGGGCCUGUGUAAAAUUAAGAAAAUCAUCCUACCUCCUCACAGACCACUUUCCAGGAAAAGGAGGAUAAAUUGGACAACUUCAUGAAACUACAAGCUUUCUGAGGAUGGAGACUGUGUGCCUUAAUCACAUGACUUUUCUUCAAGGGU